AUGAAAGCAGCUAUAGAAGCAUUCAUUGCAGCUUGUCUCAUCUGUCAAAGAGCCCUUAAAAAUUGUCUGCAGCCUGGGUUGUUAGAACCCUUGCCAAUAGCUGACAUGGCUUGGCAGCACAUAUCCAUGGACUUCAUAGAAGGGCUGCCAAAUUCUGAAGGGAAGGAAGUAAUACUAGUGGUUGUGGAUAGAUUCACAAAGUAUGCAGAUUUUAUACCCCUAGCUCACCCUUAUAAUGUGAUGAGUGUAGCCCAAGCAUUCAUGGAUAAUAUCAUCAGAUUGCAUGGACCUCCCAAGCUCAUUAUAUCAGAUAGGGAUAGGAUAUUCACUAGCAAGUUAUGGAAAGAUAUUUUUGCUGCUAUGAAAAGUGAAUUGAGAUACAACACAUCCUACCAUCCACAAACCGAUGGACAAACAGAGAGAGUUAACCAGUGUGUAGAAACUUACCUCAGAUGCAUGACCACAUCUCAGCCAAAGAAGUGGUGUUCCUGGUUACCUUUAGCUGAGUUUUGGUACAACACCACUUAUCACAUUGCAUUGAAAAUGUCUCCCUUCCAGGCUUUGUAUCGUUUUCCCCCACCAAUGAUAUCUGAAUUGGCAAUUCCUGGCCCUGAGGAAGAGGAAGCCCAAAAUUUCCUAACUGCUAAACAGGAUAUGUUGGAACAAUUGAAAGACAACUUGUAG
rnacentral:rRNA from 1 species